AUAAUCUGAAGAAAUUAGGGAAAAGUGUGACUUAACGGUUAGAAGGUAAAGAGAGGGUCACAGUGAUGUCAUGACAGGGUUUUAGCACGGUCACGGAAAUGUAACGACACGGUUUCAGCACGGUCACGGAGAUGUCACGACACGGUUUCAGCAUGGCCAUGGAAUGUCACUUCACGGCUAUAGCACGGUCACGGAAAUAUCACGACUGGUUACACCACGUUCACGGAACAAAGAUGCAGUCUCCUUUGUUCAUAGUAAUCCUUGAAUACUUCACAUCACUUAUAGAGGGAAAUUUCUCCAGGUCCACGGCAUUGACAUCAACUAUUGAAAACCCUCCAAGUUCUUUACUGGAUUCCUCUGACUCGUACACGAGGUGUGUCUGAUUUUGACCAAGCAACCACCAGUCUUUGGUUCCAUUGAAUACGCAGUGAAUUGUACUGUAGGGAUCCCUGUGAAUCAUGGUCUUGCCACCGCCGGCAGACAUAAACAAGUGCACUUCCUGGACACUGUCUAGAAAUGAACCACAUCUGGAAAAAAAACAAUGAACUAUGUUAAACUUUACAGUCAAAGUAUUUGUUUAAAAGGCAGGAGUAAAUAAAUAUAAUAAGUUUUUAGAAGUUGAGGCAGAAAGAAUGUAUAAUUUGUAUUGCAAUCUUAGUAGUGUACUUUUGAUAUACUAUCAAUAAAGACACUCCAAAAUCC